UACAGAGGGUGCAAGCGUUGUUCGGAAUUACUGGGCGUAAAGCGCGUGUAGGCGGUCUAGUAAGUUGGGUGUGAAAGCCCUCGGCUUAACCGAGGAACUGCAUUCAAAACUACCAGACUAGAGUAUCGGAGGGGGUGGCGGAAUUCCCGGUGUAGAGGUGAAAUUCGUAGAUAUCGGGAGGAACACCUGUGGCGAAGGCGGCCACCUGGAAGAUUACUGACGCUGAGACGCGAAAGCGUGGGUAGCAAACAGG
rnacentral:rRNA from 1 species